ensembl:lncRNA
AUGGGGGAUUUGUGCAAGGGAAAGGCACGAGCGCCGGGUGUCUGCCUCGCUCUUGGUGUUUGUCCGGCUGCGGUGCCGGGGCUGCUCUUGGUGGCACGGGGACGCCUUCUUGAAGCAGCCAGGCACGGUGGGGAGGAGGGAUGGGAACCACGAUGCAGAAAGGGCUGGCGUGCCCGUCCUGCCCUCGCUCACCUGCAAACCCUGCCAGGGGCUGCAGGAGCAGAGCUGGGCAGCAUCUCCCGUGCGGCCGAUAGCGCCGAGCUGCCUCCGGACGUGUCACCCACCGUGGCCAGGCUGGGCAUGUGCCAGGUGUCCCCCAGCAGCGCAGCCAGUCCGCCGGAGCAGCCCUCUGUCCCCGGGGACAGUUCAGGUAACGCCACUCGGAGCAGGUCCCUGCCUGCCGGGGAGCUUGUCCCGGCACUGCCGAGCGCGACGCACACGCCGCCGGGCGCAGGUAGGAGCGCCUUGUCCCUCCUCGCGGGUGAUGUAGGGACGGAGGUGACGGCAGCACAGGUCCCCACGAGCUCCAGCAAGGAGGAGGAGGAGCCCCCCGGCACAGCAGCUCUCUCUGAAGGGUUGGCAGCACGGGAUAUUCCCCAGGCAGGGGCUGGGUUUUCCUCCCCGAACCCUGCUGGCCAUCCGCCCAGUGUCCCUCCAGCUCCUGCCACCCCUCAGCUGCUGUCCCCUGUGCCAGCAGGGCACGCGGUGGCUCUCACCGGCGGUGGGCCAGCCACAGCCAUGUUGUCCCCAGCUCCAUCUGUCCCCAAUGAGAAGGGGACAGGCAGAACAGUGCCAUCAGGCAGCAGCACUGCCCCUCAGCAGGCUCCGGAGGUGUUCAGGGGGCUGGAGAACAUUGCUGGAGAGCCAAAACCGGGAACAGCCGCCCCUGUAGAGCAAAGGACCGUGCCCAAAGCACUUACAGGUGGUGCCAGUACGCUGACGGGUCACGUCCCAGCACCAGGCGGAGGUUUGUCUCCACCAGUGGCACUUGUCCUUGCUGCUCAACCGGUGCUGGGGACAAAAGCAUCUUCCUCAGCCACAAGCAAAGCGACCGAUGCCAGUGAGUUGGCGCAGCCCUACAGCGCUGUCACCGCAGAGGGGACGCUGGGGACAGCGUGGACCACCGUGCCAUCCCGUGUCGAACACAGCACAGGGACAGCACCCCCUGCCAUCAGCAAGAGUCCCACUGAGCCAUACGCAACCACCGCGCUCCCGUCCCAAAAGGCCACACCAGAGCUGGACACGGCCACCUCUCCUCCUGCCACUGCAGCCAGCAUCUCGCCGGCCUCCCCCGGGGACACGGGCCACUCCGUGGAGCCACCAGCAGCCCUGGCUGGCUGUGUCACCGACCCCACCAUGUCAGCAGCCACCGGGGCUCCUCUCCAUGCAGCCACAGAAGGAUCCAGGACCCCACUGCCUGCAGUCCCCCCAGAAGCAUCCUCAGCAGCGGUCACCUUUCCUCCUGCCACUGCUGCUGUCAGCGAGGCUGCGGAGCCAGGGACACCAGCCCCUGGCACUGCUGGAGCUGGGCUGCUUGGAUCCAACCCUGCCACCCGUCCCCGUGCCACCACACCGUCCCUGGGACCACCAGCCGUGGCCCUGGAUGUCACCGCCACAGCGCACGGCCCCACCGCGCCGCUUCCAGCCCUGGGAAAUGCUGAGCUGGUGGCCGCUGGUGCUGGAGCCACAACGGGCACUGCCGCCCUGCACAGCGAGGCCACCCCCAUGCAGCUGGACGCGGGGCAGGUCCCCAGCACGGCCCCUGCUGUGUCACUCCCUGGUGGUGGCCUCUCCCCUGGGUCCUCCUCUGCAGUCCCCAGGACCACCACGGCACAGGCGGAUGGGGACAGAUCCCCUCCGGCCAGCCCCAGCGUGGGCACGUCCUUGUCCCUCACGGAUGGAGCAAAGCCGACGUCUUCCCUCCAAGGGUAUGGCACCGGGACCCAGCCAGCUGCCCUCAUUAGCAAAACUCCAAUUAGUGAAGCAGGGCUGGGGACAGCAUCACCAGCCAGCAGUGACACUACUGUGAUAGCGUGGGAUGGCAGCUCCAGUGCCACCCCAGCUGCUUCAGGGGUACCCAGGACACUCAGCACCACUAAGGUACCGUGGGCAAGCAUCCCGUGGGACAGCAGUGCCACUGCAGGGGUGGCAGUGGGGGUGUCCCCAUCCAGCAGCCCC